ensembl:rRNA 5S_rRNA 5S ribosomal RNA
GCUUACGGCCAUACCAGCCCAAGAACUCCCGAUCUCGUCUGAUCUCGGAAGCUAAGAAGGCUUGGGCCUGGUUAGUACUUGGAUGGGAGACCUCCUGGGAAUACCAGGUGCUGUAAGCU